CCAGCCCCAGUUCUGUCUCUUAGUAACUGGUAGGCAGGAUAACGGCUUCCCAGCACCGUUCAUGUCCUAAUCUCCAGAAUUUGUGAAGGGCCUUUGCAGGUGUGAUUAGAUUAAGGCUCUUGAUACGGGGAGAUGAUCCUGGAUUAUCCAGGUGGCCCAAUGUCAUCACGAGGGUCCGUAACGUGGGAAAAGGAGGCAGGAGAGUCAGAAUCAGAGAGAUUUGAAGACGUGACCGUGCUGGCUUUGCAGGUGGGGGAGGGCCCACCAGCCAAGGAGCACAGGCGCCUCUAGAAGCUGGAAAAAGCCAGGAAACAGAUUCCUUCCUGGAGCCACCAGAAGGAACACAGCUUUGCCCACACUUUGAUUUUAGCCCACGGAGACCCCUUGCAGACUUCUGACCUCCUGAACUAUAAGGAUUACAGAAUUCCUCAGAGUCUCCCUGGUCUUUGGAAAGACCUUUAUAGCACUCAGCAGCCUUUCUUCAUGCCGAUACGAUCGAUGUGAUGAAGCCAGGCCAAUAGGGUCCCCAAGAGCGCCCGCCAAGGCAAGUUUCCAAAAACUCGGGGACCGAAACUGACGGACAUCGAGGUCUGGGACAAACAUUUUGAUUUAUCCAGCACCUGUGUAUUGAGCCCGCACUGGGAACCAGAACCAGGAGACACAAGGGUAGAGAGAUGAUGGAGACCAGCGGCCCAGGACCUCCGGGACCUUUUUCCCAGCCACCAGCACUGCUACUGUCUCGGCUCUCAGGCCCUCUGCCCAAGAGAAAGAAACCACAGUACCCACAUGGAGUCAUUUGCCUCCAGGACAGCAAUCAAGACAACUGCAGGGGCUUCCCUGGUGGCGCAGUGGUUAAGAAUCUGCCUGCCAAUGCAGGGGACAUGGGUUCGAGCCCUGCCAAUGCAGGGGACACGGGUUCGAGCCCUGGUCCACGAAGAUCCCACAUGCCGCGGAGCAGCUAAGCCCGUGCACCACAACUACUGAGCCUGUGCUCUAGAGCCCGCGAGCCACAACUACUGAGCCCAUGUGCCACAACUACUGAGCCCGCACGCCUAGAGCCCGUGCUCCGCAACAAGAGAAGCCACCGCAAUGAGAAGCCCGCGCACCACAACGAAGAGUAGCCCCCGCUCUCUGCAACUAGAGAAAGCCCAUGUGCAGCAACGAAGACCCAAC